GAUGAACGCUGGCGGCGUGCCUAAUACAUGCAAGUCGAGCGAACGGACGAGAAGCUUGCUUCUCUGAUGUUAGCGGCGGACGGGUGAGUAACACGUGGAUAACCUACCUAUAAGACUGGGAUAACUUCGGGAAACCGGAGCUAAUACCGGAUAAUAUUAUGAACCGCAUGGUUCAAAAGUGAAAGACGGUCUUGCUGUCACUUAUAGAUGGAUCCGCGCUGCAUUAGCUAGUUGGUAAGGUAACGGCUUACCAAGGCAACGAUGCAUAGCCGACCUGAGAGGGUGAUCGGCCACACUGGAACUGAGACACGGUCCAGACUCCUACGGGAGGCAGCAGUAGGGAAUCUUUCGCAAUGGGCGAAAGCCUGACGGAGCAACGCCGCGUGAGUGAUGAAGGUCUUCGGAUCGUAAAACUCUGUUAUUAGGGAAGAACAUAUGUGUAAGUAACUGUGCACAUCUUGACGGUACCUAAUCAGAAAGCCACGGCUAACUACGUG
rnacentral:rRNA from 1 species